rnacentral:lncRNA from 1 species
UCGGUGUUUGUAACCUUUUGCGUUGCACAUGCUCUGCCGUGUGGCGCUGCUUCAGGUGGUGAAAAAGAUUUGUAUUCCCCGACUUUGUGAGAACAUGUACUCGACAUAAUUUACAGUCCACAUUACUCUGCUUCUGCGUCACCUGUUAAAGUGCUAUGGUUGCUGUUCUACGCAGUUGUUUGCUACUUCGUUCUAAUUCAGCACGAUUGGUUCAGCGCGACGCAGACCCGGAGCAACUCUAUAGCCACAAAUAAUGCUCACUUCAUCAACAGUACAUAUAGGGUCCCAGCCAUCAAACAUCUUUUUAACUUUAGCGAACAGAUUAAACACAACUCACCUACUCUCUUCCAGCAGCCGCAUGUUUGUACGGAGACCUCCGGGUGAGUCCAUCGACUGCAGCGGGGAGACGCAGCUCAAGGAAGAACAUUUAUGAUCAUUUCUUCAUGAAAAUACAAUCAGACAGAGACGCUAAGACAGAAGAACUACUGCGUCUGCAGAGCAAAAUGAUUAAUAUGAUGAUUAUUACUUCAAGGAAAUGAUAAAGUAAUAGCUAUAAAUGUUCUUCCUUGAGCUGCGGAGGUCUCCGUACAAACAAGCCGCUGCUGGAAGAGAGUGAGUAGCAUGACACUGACAGUUCUGAGUCCUAAAGACUGAGAUUGUUCCAGACUUUAUGCUUCAAAACUUCGGCCCACAAACCAUUGGUCUAUGUCACACUGGCUUCCUAUGUACAGUCCUUGAAAUAACCACAUGAAACUUUAGUGUAUGUGCUGGAAAAAUGAAUACAUUGCAAACGAUCGCAACAUUGAAAAACUCUAUUAUUCGAAGGACCAUUUUAUCACCUUUUAAAGUCUUUAACCAGCCUAAAUAACAUGCCUGAAAAGUGAUGGACAUGUCAUUGUUUGCAGAAAUAUCUGGCUGCCACAUGUUGAUCGGAGCCUCUGGAUAAAUAUCUGGCUGUGAUUCCUCCGCCUCUGUAGUUUCCUCUGUUUCCUGUUUAGAUGGAGAAGAUGGAGCAUACAUUUCUCUACACUUUGAUGUUAUUUCAUCUGCAGUUCAGCUCAGAAAAAAAGAGGAAGCCGCGGACAGUUGAUGUGAUUUAGUGUGAAACCACAAACAAUCAGAGACUUUCUUUGCAUGAAAUGGAUAACAGACGCCUAUAAUGCAAAGACUGAAGCUGGGAUUUUGUUUAUGUUGCUCUUAUAGUUUUUUUCCUCAGGUCUAUUUUAGUGAGUGGGCUUUAUGUUCUUCAUGUAAAGGUCAAAAAGGUGAUUUUAUUCUGUUAUUAUCUCUGCAGCUGCUUCUAUUACAGGCUUAAUUUAUCCUCCUCCGUACAUGGACACGGUACAGUACAAGUUUGUACACUUUCUGUGGGCCUAUUCACGUGUUGGCUCGAACCCAUGUCCAGGCAUGUGUUGAACCAGCGUUGGCGCAAUGACAGCGGCGCGUGCCACAGUCAGCAGCAGCAGAGAGUGUGCGCGUGAGAAGGUAACAGAUCCUGAUGACCCCGAGACUGUCUCAGAGGUAGGAGGCUAAAUUUACCCGCAGAGACCCGCACUCUUGAAUUAAGCAGACUGAUGAAAUGCUGAGCUGAUGUUGAUGUAGAGACUGAGGUGGGUCGGUGCAAAAAUACUCUGUAACUGUAGAUCCGCUUCGUUUGUGUCUGAGGGACAUGUGCACGAGGUCUGUUUACACCGCUUUGUCUCAACUGGUUUAAAGCGGAAAUAAAAACACAGAAGAUGAGUUUAGACACAAUAAGUGUCAUAAAUAUCACAAAUUAAUCAAGUAUAUAGUUGCACCGAGAUCUACUGUACUUUUUCCAUGGUGUACAUGGCCGGUUAGCUCAGUUGGUUAGAGCGUGGUGCUAAUAACGCCAAGGUCGCGGGUUCGAUCCCCGUACGGGCCAAUAAUUAUGUUACUGUCACUGCAAGUUGGGUGAGGAGAUGUUACCGGUGUGUUAAUUGACAGUCUAUAUGCAGCAUAUCGACAUUGACCAUAGACCAUCUUCCUCCUCACUGGGUAAAGUCCAUAGACUGUAUAUAAGAUGGACAGAGGCUGUGUCCGAAAUGGCCUACUACUCCUACUACUCCUACUAACCCCGCCUCUGAAUUGAGUAUUCACACUGUACAGUAUGCGAAUUUUGUGUAUGCGAGAAAUGCCCGGAUGUAUACUCAAUCGGCUUCGAUUUCUGAGUGUGCAACGGAGCUUGCUUCAGUACUGCUUCUGCCCCACAAUGCAUUGCGCACCUCAGCUGGUAAUAUGGCCCUCCUUCCCGAGGCUGAAAAGAAAUAGAUGGCAUGUGAUUGCAAUAAUAAUGAUAUAUAUAUAAAUAGAUAAACAAUAUUUAGUCCGUAUACAUUACACAAUUUUCAUCAUUUUAUCAUAUUUUGAUCUUUUUACCGGAUUUAUUUGUAUUUUAAAUUAGGAUUAUAGGCAAUGUUUUUAACUAUUCGUAUGAAUUGACUUUAUUUAUUUAAGUGUCUAUUAAAGAUGUAUUUAUUACAUCAAGUUUGAGCAUCUUCUCAUCUCUGAAUGCAUCAUCAAAGUGGUCGCUCAUAUUAAGCACAGACCUCUGAUUAAUAAAAAUUAUCUUUGGUAGAGAGCACAUGGUUCAGAAUAUACAAACAGGGGAGUUUCCAGUUGACAAUCUAUGUGAGCUUUACUAAUUCUUACUUGUGAUUGAAAAUCUGAUGGUUUCUGAAAUUAUCAUUGUACAUGAAAAGAAUGUAGUCGGGAAAUGAUGUAUUUGCCAAGGAAUAACCGAACAAGGUCAUAAUAAUUAUGUUGUGUGUUGGUCAUUUUGCAGCCCUCUGCUGCUCAUCACACGGCCAGCAGGUGGUGUAUAGCAUUAUCACCAUGGAUACACGGAUGUUUGGGUGAUUUUUUUCAUCCACUGCCGCCCGGUUUGUGUCGUGUAGAUGGUGAUGAUGAAAACACUUCGCAAUAAUUUGGAAACGUGAAGGGGGGGCUGCUGACGCAAACACCGACCAAGUGGACGCUUCGGUCUCCGAAAACGCCGAGACAAAUUUACAAACAGCCACUAUUUCAAACAACUGGGCUCAUAAUCGUGAUGUAAACACUUACUUUCUCGCUAGAAAAAAAUAUUAUUAUUGAAUGAAUUUAUAUAAUUUGUCCGGGAUGCAGUCGUUCUGUGUGGCUUGUGGUAGGACUAUUUAAAUUUUCCCGGCGCUGCGUCCGGCCGGCACGAAAUGCAUUCUGGGGUAUUUAGUAUGUAUGUGUGUAAACGCUCGGGCAGCCGCGGCAUACUCAAAUCCUCUUUGAGUAGUCAGUAGGCAGUAGCUACUGCUUGAGUAGGUAAGUAGAUAGUAGGCAGUAUGCCAUUUCGGACACAGCCAGAGUCUGCCUCCUCGCUGGGUGAAGCUACUCAGAGAACAGCACCCUCUGAUGGUGGGCUGCAGUACAGGUCAUAAAUCCCGCCUCCGCCAGCAAAGCUAAUGGGACUGUGGACAAACUUUAGAAAUUUAUUACACAGAACAUAAAUUUUUCUCCCUCCUGAUUGUGAUGUUGACAUGAAGUUACAGUAAGACUGGUUUGUGCUCAAAGUCCUUUUUUUUUUCUGUGAAGCUCCGUUUUUAAAAGUUAUUAGGGGGUUCAUGAUUUCUGUGAUUGACACCUGACACAGCCAAUGGGCCUUCAGGGAUUGCGUAGUUCACCCGGGGGAUACGCUGUUUGAGCCGAGAGUCAUCACAGCGACUCUCUACUGCGCAGCUGGUUUCAGGAAAUGAAGAAAAAUCCCGGAAAUACAGAGAGCUUUUUGGCUUCAAAUCCAUAUAAAGGCGGUAGGCGGAACCAAGUGGUCCAUAGUAUAUACAGUCUAUGGUUUAGACACAAUAGAAAUAUCAUAAUUAUACGAAUUUACCAAAUAGAUACUUGCAGUACAACUUUCUGUAUUUUUUCUGUAUUGCAUAAGGCCGGUUAGCUCAGUUGGUUAGAACGUGGUGCUAAUAACGCCAAGGUCGCGGGUUCGAUCCCCGUACGGGCCAAUAGUUAUGUUACUGUCAGUGUAAAUUUGGCAAGGAGAUGCUACCUGUGUGUUAAUUAACAGUCUCUAUGCAGCAUGUCUACAUUGACAGCAAUACAUCCAAAAACAGUGACAUGAAAACUUUGUCACCUGCUGUGCAACCAGAAAGAUCAGAAGGUGAUAUUAAAAAUACAGGAAAUAAAUGAGAAGAAAAUUUAAAUUAGAAGUUUGAAAGGUCAAAAUUUUCCCGAUUUUUCUCCAGUACUUGAAACCAACAUUGCGCAGCAGUGUUGUAUACACUUCACCACUUGCGCAAUUGCAUUGUACGCAUUUGGAGGGAGAGUCGCCAAAAGUUGCUGCGAUGACGCUCGUGCAAACAGCGUAUCCCUCGGUGAGCUAUGCAAUCUUCAUACCCCUAUAGGCUGUAUCAGGUGUCAAUAACAGAAAACACGAACCCUCUAACAACUUUUAAAAAUGGAGCAGUACAGAAAAAGAGGACUUGAGCACAAACCAGUCUGACAGUAACUACAUGUCAACAUGUUUGUCCACAGCUCCAUAAGCUAGGAAGGCUAGAUGACUUGAGGCGGAGUCACCGGCGUCCCUACACGGCAGCCAUCUUACUCCAGUAUACGAUUCUGGAACUGACGGAAGGUGAGUAAUCUGCAUGAUCAAAAAAAAAUCGCUGAAAUCUUGACAGAUUUACGAAUGGUUUGGUUUAUUACAGACCUUAAUAACGUGGCUAUGAGUCGGGAUGCUUGGACAUAUAGAAAUGGCAGAUUUACUUUGAGAAAAAAAAAAGAUUUAAUCGUAAAGUACAGUUGUUUCACAGCUAUCUGCGCGCAAGGGCUAACUUUGGGUAGCUUUGCACAAGUUGUCAAGGCUCAGACCACAAUCGAGAAUUUAAUUUCUUUUAAGACAGCCUUUUUAAAAUGUAUUUAUUUAGUCCAAGUGACAGCUUUUGUGGAUGUGCUUGUGUUUAUUAGCUGUCCCUUCACCAAAUAAAUACUUACGGCGAGAUAUUCUGUGCUUUCUCAUAGCUGCACAUGGCCGGUUAGCUCAGUUGGUUAGAGCGUAGUGCUAAUAACGCCAAGGUCGCGGGUUCGAUCCCCGUACGGGCCAAUAAUUAUGUUACUGUCACUGCAAGUAUUGUUAGUAGAUCUUACAGUGUGUUAAUGAUAGUCUCUGUGCGAUGUGUUGUUGACAGUGACACUAAGAAUACGACAUUACCAAAUCUGUAUCACCAACUGUACAACCUAGAUAUUUAAGGGUUUUCAAUGAUUCAGAUCUGCACAACAAGCUGGUCCAGUUUUAAAUAUUUCUACCAGUGAGGAGCAUUUUGUUUUUCUUUUUUGCUGCUGAAAUUACACCAGUUGAAAGAGGAAGAGGAGAAGAGUGGUUGUAACGCUCAUAAGUAUUUGUUAUGAAGGUCAUUUUGAUCAAUCUCAGUCUCUUAUUGUCCUCAAUAACUGCGGUCGCUUCGCUAAUUUGAGGAGUGAGCGAGGGAGCGUUUAGAUGUAGAAUCUGUCGGCCAGGAUGAGCCAAAUAUGCCAGUUCCUACACUCUAUAUCAAACUUAAUUCAGACUUUUCUGUUUACUUACAGACCCGACAAACUCUGCAGCGUCUCAUUUUAAAAAUGUGAGUAUAUAUGGUCUGUGUGGAUACUAAAUCAGUCUCUCCAGUGCGCUCUCUCUGCUCUUUAAAAGCCUCUCAGACUCUCACUAAUAAGUAACUUGAUGCUUGUGGAUAACCGGCGUACUUUUACAGCUUCAUAUAAUACAUAAAAUAUGUCAGAGCGAUGUUGUGAACCAGCUGUGGGGAAGCUUUGAAGUGAGGACACGAGGUCACUCUGCGCUCCCAGAAAAAGCUCUGAGUGUUUUUACUGCUCUGGGUGCAGCGGCCGCUUUAAUAUUCACAUGUUGCUUCAAUGAAGGAGGUUUUUUAAUGGUAAUCUUUGCUGCUGGUCUCGUUUAUGUGUGACCUGUGAUUCAACCUGAUCCAGAGAAACAAACAGAAAUCGUUUUAUUAAUAGAGUUCUUGACCUCGGGUGGAGUUUAGGUCCAAACUUGUGACAUUAUCAGAGCUGUGGUGUAACUUUUGUGUUGUUACUGAUCACUUUUCUGGUCCUGAGAGACAAACCGCCCUCCAUUAGGACUCUUUAUGAAUGACCUGCAGCUGUUUUCAGUCCUGACAAACACUCUUGGCUUUGCAGACGUUCAUACAAAUAUCCUCCACAUUGCAGAAAGCUCUUUCAUUCACAUGUUUCUCCUCCAACCUGCAGACUUUGAAGUUGCUGAGAUCACUGUUUUCUUUAAUUCCUAACCAUCCUUUUUUUGUUUGCAGUGAGCCUCCAGAUUGUUAGCAGAUUAUAGAAACCUGAACCCUGAAGGAAGAGGAUCGACUCCAUCGGGUUUGUUUUCAUCUUUGGUAUUUAUAUUUUGGUUCAGACCUGGACUGAGUCAGCAGUCAGGCAUCUGCUGCACUGAUUGUCACUAAGACCUUGGGGCUGCUGAAGGUGAGGUCAUUUUUACCAGGGGUCAGAGGUGACUCCUGCCAUGCGUCAUAGCACAUGCCACUGACAUGAUGUUAUUGUGGACAGAUAUUGAGAGGGGGGGUUCCUGAGACCGAACAGAGGAUCAGGUGAUCACAGAGCCAGAAGUUUGUGCCAGAGCUUAUUUAACAGACACGACAGGCUGCAGCGUAGUCCCCGAUCAAUCACCGUGAUAGACGUGAUGACAAUUGAAGGAAGAGGGGCUGGACUAGACGACUCCCAGGAAGAGGAUUUAUGGGUUUAUGUUAACGCAAACACCAGGUGGUCACCAGGUUGUUGAAGUGUAUCGGCUAUUUUUGACCAACCUUUCUCUUUUUUUAGUCUGUUGUGUUCGACCUUCAUGACACAGUUGCCUAAGCUUGAUGAACUAUACCUCUGUCCAGUGUUGUGCCGGAAAGCGUUCAUAUUUCGGGUGAAUGUGAACGUAUUGUUCUUUAUUUGCAUGUGAGAGCGUUGGUGUUGAAUGCGCUCAUUCUGGCGUCUGUGAGUGGCGUAAGUGUGCCAGAUGUCCAGAGUCUUCCAGGCGAAACCCCGGCUAAAACACACCGUACACAGGCCUUCAUAUUUAGCAGAAAGCUACCUAACCUGGCAACAGCAAAAAGCCUGACUGUCACUCCGAUAAAUACAUCAGUCGUCAUGACUUCAGUAUACACGAUGGACAAACUCACCAAAUAAAUACUUGCAGGCCAAUUAUGUGUAUUUUUUCUGCACUGCACAUGGCCGGUUAGCUCAGUUGGUUAUAGCGUGGCGCUAAUAACGCCAAGGUCGCGGGUUCGAUCCCCGUACGUAUGUUACUGUCACUGCGAGUACGGUUAGUAGAUCUUACAGUGUGUUAAGGGCAGUCUCUAUGUGAUGUGUUUGCAUUGACACUAGGAAUACGACAUUACGAAGUCUACAUCACCAACGGUACAACCUAGAUAUUUAAGGGUCAUAGGGACUUAGAGCUAGCUGCCCAAAGCACUGACACAGACGGUAAAAAUCGAACCUUUUUGUGUAAACGUUGUCCGCCUAGUUUGAGGAAGCAAGUCCGAACAGCGACGACGUCUUUAGCAAACCUUAAACGAAUAUAAUAUCAUAUCACAAUAUCAUAUCAUUAUUGUUAAUUGUUAUUUUUAUUUCCAUUAUUUGUUCUGGUUCAUUUUUAGUUAGACUCAAAUGGAAUUUGAUGUGAAUUGUUUCCAGGUCGGUUUGGAAAAGUAUAGAAAUGAAAAAAAACUUAAGGAAUACAGUCCUGUUGUUGUAAUCAUAAUAAAGAGUCUAAAAACCAUCCAAGCAGCAGGUUUUUCUCAUGUUUAUGAAAAUAAACUCUAGAGAUAAAUGUUCCUACUAUUGAGGACUGAACUAAACAUCAGGGAAACACCAGUAAUCUGAGGACUGUCCUCUCAGUGAUGUUGUAAACCUGGUUGGAUUAGGAUUAAAAAAUGGAUAUGAAGAUUAAUCUGAUGUAGUUUCAGUGUUAAAACGGUUAAAAUAAUCGCUGUCUGUGGUUCUAUAUGGGGUCCGUAAAAACUCCUGACAAAUAAGAGCUUUCAGCAAAGUACUGGAGAAAAAAAAACUAAAUUAGUUCAUUUUUGUGAACCAUGAACUGAACUUUGAACUAGCUCAGGUAGAAAGUGAACUUCCCCGACACUGCCUCUGUCACAUCACUCCAUCUCUUUUUCUAACAACUCCAACUUCACCUCUUUUUGUCUCUGAUUGUUAGUUUUGUGGAUACCGCUCGCUCCGACUAAACCACAUCUGUAUUAGAGUCGAGCAACUCAAGUUAUUAGAGUUUGUGCUGAUCAGUCUGGAAAGUUUAUUAUCGUCACAUCCUUUUAAUAGCAUGACUCAACAGUUUUGGCUUUGACUGAGUCAGGUGGAGACAAUCUGUUGAGCAGUCUCACGUCAGCUGGAGAGGGUGCAACUGAAAGGCAAACCAGCAGGGGGCAGUCUUCUCUCAGUGUCUGCACAAUCCCCCCCAGAUGCCAUGAUACAUUAAGUCUGCUGUUACCAGAUACUAAAAUGCAUCAUGGAUGUUUUAUAAAGAAGCUUUCAUCAACAGGAACAAUAUUUGGAUAAGAGGAGAAAAGUCGAUUUCCUUGUUGUCUGAUUUUUCCAUCUGCUGCAGAUGUGGGGGUUGUUGUUUGAGUUUUCAUUAACAGCAGUAAAAAAAAAAAGAAAAAGUUCCCUCGCAUCCACGGAGAAAAUGUUUCCAUGUGGGACAGUGAGUCAUGAGCAUGAGACCGAGACAAGAGUCCAAGAGGAUGUGGGAGAAUGAACAGAAGACGGUGAUGAGAAAAAGAGGAGUGGGAUCAGAGAGAGAGGAAGAGGAGGAGAUGGAGCAUGAGCUGGUGGGAAGAGUGAGGAGGAGAAGAGCAUCACUGAGUGAGUGCCAACUGGACAAACAUCUGCUGCUGCCGAGGGUGAGAGGAAAAGAAACCAGAAGUCAGAUUUCUGUUAACGAAGUUUUAUCCCUGAGGUCUUUGGUGGUACCAGAUGACCUCUGAGGGUCUUUCCAAAACCGCCUCCUUGACUCCCUCCUCUCACACCUCCCACCUGUUUGCAUCUGCCAAACUGAAUCCCACCCAGAGCCUCUGAGUGUGGAGUGAAAGUGGCCAAGUCUGCACUGAUGGACUGUGUCCGUCCAAGUCCCCGAGCAAGAAUUGAUUAACUGAUGGAAGAACGUCGCCCCCUUUUUAACUCGUUACUGUGGGGCCGCCACAUGUUAGCGAGAGGCUAACAGAGAGAGUGUCGAAUGCUGAAACACUGUGAGUAGGAGGUGUCAGCAGAUCCACAACCAUGACAGAUCAUAGACUGAAUAUAGAAUAGACGCCGUCUGCCUCCUCGAUGGGUGAAGCCACUCUGAGAACAGCGCCCUCUGGUGACGGGCUGCAGUGUUUCAGUUUGUGGAUCUGUCGUGCAGUGACCUACUCCAUCCAGCAGGGGCGCAAGGAGGGUUGUGGAUCAGUCACGGUUGUGGAUUGAACACUGUUACCCUACAGAUCUAUUGAUCCAGUAUGUUUGGCACAUCAGCUCCAUUUCUUGUACGUUUCUCUAAAAUCUGGUCGACAGCAUAUUUAUGUGCUUAAUCUAAAGAUGUGCGGCGUUUUCAAUCCAGAUGUCCACCCUGCUGCCUCUCUGCAGGCAGCAGCUACGCAGGAUGGCGUAACACAAACCGCCCGCUGAUUUGGUCUUUAGCAUCAUAAUUUUCCACAAAUGGUCGUUUUCCCUCCUUUUUUUCAAAUGCUAAAAUCUCCUGCUAUACGAGCGCCUCUCCUGAGAGACUCUCCCGCGUCGUUGCCAAAUUCAUGAGUACUAACAGAACAUGCAAAGUGAUUCUCAUGGGCUCAGAAUUGGAUGCAGUCUCUGGAUGCAGCUGUUUUCCAGCAGUGUGACCUCUGUAAGAGUAUCCAGAUAAUGACCACGGGCUCCCAGCCCUCACAGCUCUCAUCCAGAUUUCCUAAUCCUCUAUUAAAAGUCCACAUAGUCAGCAGGACUUAACUUGGCUUACAGUGACCGACCAACAGCCAAAACUAAAAGGGCCUUUUUAAGAGCCCAGUGUGUACCCUUCAGUCGUCGAGGACGUCACCUCUGGAUUUAGUGAAGAGCAGAGAUCCCAGGCAGGGUAGAGUGAGGACAUGCGCUGUGUUUUCAUCGUUCAGUUUACAAGUCGACUCUUAAUUGAAGACAAAAGUUCAAAUAUGAAUUCAUGUUUCAAAUUAAGACUUCUUCAGAGUUAUAUAACACUUCUCCGAACCUCAACCAGCUGCAGUUUACACUUUGUUCUUCUUCUUCUUCUUCUUCGCUGAAAGUUUCUGUCAGUUAUUAAACUUUAUUACAGUUCGCUUCAAAGACAUUCUCCUUUUUUUUUUUUUGUUUGCUUUCAAGAACAAUGGGAAACUUAAACCUCCAUACUGAAUGUUCGCUGUGGUCUGAGUUUCUAAAUCCAGACUCUUCGUCAUGGACCUCCAUUGUUCUUCAGACACUUCAUAAAGGCAUCGAUAAACCGCAUGGUUGUAGAGGACUCCACAAGAGCACACCAAACUGCAGCCAGAAAUUACUCAUCAAGAACCGAACCAUCAGAAAGUGACGCUCAGUUUACUCCAAAUGACAAUGAGCUGCAGCUUCAGGGAGUAUUGAUAAUGGAUCAAUAAGGCUGCAGGACGUGUAUCUGAAAUAUUAAGUAUGUACAUUGAUCAUGUUGUUGAGUUAUUUCCCUCUCUUCUCUCUCCAAACCCAGUUCAGUCUCAGCUAAGGCUGGGCGAUAUGGGAAAAAGUUAAUCAUGAUAUAUUUUUUCAUAUCAGUUGAUAUUGAUAUAUAUCACAAUAUAAAAAAAAGUAACUUCAAUUUUAGAUGUUCCCUGUUACUCUUAAAUGAAAUGUAACAGUGUUUAUUGGUAGCAUGUCUUUUGCAAUACAAUAAUCUGCAUCUGUGAGGUCUUUGUGUCUCUUUGACGUUUUGUCGUGAGGCGUUGCGCUAGAGAAAACAGACUGAAUGGUCAUCUGUUUCGGCUGCACAGUGCUAAAGUGCUAUGGUUGGGUGUAGCUGCAGUUGUUUGCCACUUGGUUCUAAUUCAGCACGAUUGGUUCAGCGUGACACAGACCCAGAGCAACUCCCUUUUCAUUCGCUAUUUGUAUAGACGGGUUUCUGUGCAAUGUCAUCGCAGGUAUGCACACGCAGCCAGGGGGCAGAAAGCAGGACAUUUGUUUACUAACGAAGUCAACAGAGAAAGAAAAUGACGAGGAGAUGUUGUGAUGUAAACUUCACGAAUCAGCAAAACAAACAACCGGCAAGUGUUUUUCUGAUU